GCAGCGUUUCAUGGCUUGCGGCGUCAGACGCGCGACGAGUACGACGUGCUAGACAUCGCCGUUCAUGCCAUAGUCUGCGGCCGCGGUGACGGAGCAUGCACUGUUGGACAACAUGUCCGGGCCGGCUGCUAGCAGGCGAUGUGGGUCUCGACGGCCUUCUGCGGCUCACCGACGAGGCGUUCCGACGGGCAGAAGUCAAGGUAACAAAAAGAAAUGUACAUUCUUGUAUAGCACUGGCCUUAACAGGUCAGCUACGAGUUUAUCGAUAUGGCCAUCGGACGAGACUACACAACACUGUGUAAACAUGGGUAAUCAUUGAUAACAAAGCAACCAGGCAUCCAUGAGCUCUACAAAUAAACGUUCACCGGCAAUGCAGCAACAAGACUGGAUGAAUAAGAGGAAAGUGCCGCUGAGGCCGCGCCUGGUUACCUCUGUAACAACGACAUCAUAGGCAUUAACGGUUAUAACUUUGAAGCUCUAGAUGCAGAAAAAACAGAACUUCAAUAAGAGCCCAAGAACUCAGGCGAACCAAGCAGCAGUAUCAGUUUAACAUGGCACGUCAACAAGUUACUUCCCAUCGAGAAGAAUUCACAGGGCAGAUAAAUAUGUCAUAAAAAAAUGUGACAAUAUUUCCGACAUCUUACCUCUCUACGUGUAUCUGCAUCGCCAAUCACUGAUGACCCAAUAACCGCGUACACCGGUCCAUGUCCGUUAAAGAAUCGCAUCCGACAAAUUUUCCCAAGCACUGGCACUAAUCCAGCAGGAGGACGCAACAGGGCGUUGUAGAACUGUGAAUUUGGUAUCAAGACAAAAAAUAUAUUUUUUGUUCAUGCAAUAUGCUAUAUGUACUUAAACUAUGUUCUUUCUAUACUAAGCACGAUUUAUCGUCAGUGCAGUUUUUACAUCUCCAUAUCGAUCAUGUAUUCCAUUGUUAUUCUCUUUCAAAUAACAUAGCUUUUGUCUUUA